UACGUAGGGUGCAAGCGUUGUCCGGAAUUAUUGGGCGUAAAGAGCUCGUAGGCGGUUCGUCGCGUCGGCUGUGAAAUCCCGAGGCUCAACCUCGGGUCUGCAGUCGAUACGAGCAAACUAGAGUGUUGCAGGGGAGACUGGAAUUCCUGGUGUAGCGGUGAAAUGCGCAGAUAUCAGGAGGAACACCGAUGGCGAAGGCAGUGGGCUGGGCCGGCACUGACGCUGAGGAGCGAAAGCGUGGGGAGCGAACAGG
rnacentral:rRNA from 1 species